CUUUACACAUGCAAGUCGAACGGCAGCGCGAACUUCGGUUUGGCGGCGAGUGGCGAACGGGUGAGUAAUAUAUCGGAACGUACCCAGUAGCGGGGGAUAACUACUCGAAAGAGUAGCUAAUACCGCAUACGCCCUACGGGGGAAAGGGGGGGAUCGCAAGACCUCUCACUAUUGGAGCGGCCGAUAUCGGAUUAGCUAGUUGGUGGGGUAAAGGCUCACCAAGGCGACGAUCCGUAGCUGGUUUGAGAGGACGACCAGCCACACUGGGACUGAGACACGGCCCAGACUCCUACGGGAGGCAGCAGUGGGGAAUUUUGGACAAUGGGGGCAACCCUGAUCCAGCCAUCCCGCGUGUGCGAUGAAGGCCUUCGGGUUGUAAAGCACUUUUGGCAGGAAAGAAAUCGCAUGGGUUAAUAACCUGUGUGGAUGACGGUACCUGCAGAAUAAGCACCGGCUAACUACGUGCCAGCAGCCGCGGUAAUACGUAGGGUGCAAGCGUUAAUCGGAAUUACUGGGCGUAAAGCGUGCGCAGGCGGUUCGGAAAGAAAGAUGUGAAAUCCCAGGGCUUAACCUUGGAACUGCAUUUUUAACUACCGAGCUAGAGUAUGUCAGAGGGGGGUGGAAUUCCGCGUGUAGCAGUGAAAUGCGUAGAUAUGCGGAGGAACACCGAUGGCGAAGGCAGCCCCCUGGGAUAGUUGGGUUAAGUCCCGCAACGAGCGCAACCCUUGUCAUUAGUUGCUACGAAAGGGCACUCUAAUGAGACCGCCGGUGACAAACCGGAGGAAGGUGGGGAUGACGUCAAGUCCUCAUGGCCCUUAUGGGUAGGGCUUCACACGUCAUACAAUGGUCGGGACAGAGGGUUGCCAACCCGCGAGGGGGAGCCAAUCUCAGAAACCCGAUCGUAGUCCGGAUUGCAGUCUGCAACUCGACUGCAUGAAGUCGGAAUCGCUAGUAAUCGCGGAUCAGCAUGUCGCGGUGAAUACGUUCCCGGGUCUUGUACACACCGCCCGUCACACCAUGGGAGUGGGUUUCACCAGAAGUAGUUAGCCUAACCGCAAGGGGGGCGAUUACCACGGUGGGAUUCAUGACUGGGGUGAAGUCGUAACAAGGUAGCCGUAUCGGAAGGUGCGGCUGGAUCACCUCCUU
rnacentral:rRNA from 1 species